AUGAUUCAUCUUCAUCCUCAGCUAGCCUGCUACUGGAGAUCUGACUUAUUUAUUUAUUUACUGUUUAUGGCUCUUUGCUGCUUGUUUUCCCCUCUUUUCUCCUUCCCUCUCUCUCUUCUACUCCUCGCUCGCUCUCUUUUCUCCUUCCCUCUCUCUCUUCUACUCCUCGCUCGCUCUCUUUUCUCCUUCCCUCUCUCUCUUCUACUCCUCACUCGCUCUCUUUUCUCCUUCCCUCUCUCUCUUCUACUCCUCGCUCGCUCUUUUCUCCUUCCCUCUCUCUCUUCUACUCCUCGCUCGCUCUUUUCUCCUUCCCUCUCUCUCUUCUACUCCUCGCUCGCUCUUUUCUCCUUCCCUCUCUCUCUUCUACUCCUCGCUCGCUCUUUUCUCCUUCCCUCUCUCUCUUCUACUCCUCGCUCGCUCUUUUCUCCUUCCCUCUCUCUCUUCUACUCCUCCCUCGCUCUCUUUUCUCCUUCCCUCUCUCUCUUCUACUCCUCACUCGCUCUCUUUUCUCCUUCCCUCUCUCUCUUCUACUCCUCGCUCGCUCUCUUUUCUCCUUCCCUCUCUCUCUUCUACUCCUCGCUCGCUCUCUUUUCUCCUUCCCUCUCUCUCUUCUACUCCUCGCUCGCUCUCUUUUCUCCUUCCCUCUCUCUCUUCUACUCCUCCCUCGCUCUCUUUUCUCUUUCCCUUGCUCUCUUUUCUCCUUCCCUCUCUCUCUUCUACUCCUCCCUCGCUCUCUUUUCUCUUUCCCUUGCUCUCUUUUCUCUUUCCCUUGCUCUCUUUUCUCCUUCCCUCUCUCUCUUCUACUCCUCACUCGCUCUCUUUUCUCCUUCACUUGCUCUCUUUUCUCCUUCGCUCUCUCUCUCUGCCUCUAUCGUUGUAAAAAGGACCCUCUUAAUGUUAGGCUAUAUGCACUCUAUCUCUCUCCUUCUUUCUUCCGGUCUGCCAUUCUCUACUAUCUGUUCUCGUAGAUCCUCACCACUCCUUCAGGUGUUGUGUGUACUUUUUGAACAUGGCAGUGGCCUUAGGCCCUUCUUCUCCUAG
rnacentral:lncRNA from 8 species